GAGGCACAGAUAUCCCCUACGCGGCCCUUUCUUAGCGCUCGCUCCGGAGGAAACACCUAUAGCUGGGAUAAGGACAAAGAGGGAGGGAGUCCCAGCACAAAGGCACACAUCAAACUGGCCUGCCAUCACCAUGGUAACACCAUCAGCAGCAGCUCUGUGAAACCGGGACGAGGAAGCUGUUCCACCGCCAUGUCCUGCCUCACCAACUAAGUGGUAGCCUCCAGAUAAAAAGGAAAACUGGAGCCAGAGCGGUCCAAGUCCCCAGGCUCAAUUCUGUCCUGAGCCCCCCCUUGUUUCCUUAAGGGUCACUUAGAAGAUUAUCUUUUCUCCAAAUUCCCCUGAUUGUCAUCCCCCUAAUGGAGGGUGUCCUUCAUCCUAGAAGUCAGCCGUCGUGACUUAACAUUUUAACCUUGGCCCUUCCUAGACUGUCUGAACUAGAUGGAACCUCUGAGGUCUAGUUCACACUCCUCUCCCAUUAUCAAGAGGAAGGCAGGGAUGCCUGGCAUGUCUCACGAUUUGCCAAGGUUCUGCAUUGUGUCUGUGCAGAACCCGUGCCCGGACCAUAGCUUCCUGGCCUCUGCUUCAUUGUGAUCUGAACAUUCUAGAACGUAUCUGCCUCCCACUGUCACAUUCCAGACCCAGUCCCGUUGGAGGGAUGGGAUAUCUUUCCUCCUCCUAGUGUCCUUGAGGCAGGCAAGCUUAGAGGUAUCUUAGCAACCCGGGGAGUCGACUUGACUCAGGCUACACACUACUCACUUGCCUCCUAACAAUGCAUCUAGAAUCCCAGGACUCUGUAUCGAGCUGCGUAUACACCCCACCUCAAACAGUGGGAUAAGUCUCUUCCCCCUUAACGUAUCCUCUGCCAAUCACCCCCUAAAGAAAGAUCUGUCUCAUUUAACGGUUCCUGCCCGUGUCAGUCAGCUGUCUGUUGUGAAACAGUCUGUCAAACGCAUAUGGAAGAAAGGUUUGCCCUGGCUUACAGUUUCCGAAGCUUCAGUCCACGCUCACUUGUCCUCGGUGCUUUGGACCUGUGGCGCCUAUUACCAGACAGGACAGCGAGGCUGCAGAUACCAGCACAGUGGACAGCCAGCAGGCUCCUCACAGCCCUGGGAUCUUAUGCAGAUCAGAGCUCUCAGCCUGGGCCAGAGAAGACUGGCCGGAGUCCUGAGAUUACGUGACGACUGAGUGUCCAGCCCCAAACAGGACAUCUAUAGCUCUUCCCUCCUAGACCCAAGAGCACUGCAGAAGGAGCAGAAAGAAUUCAUCCCAGGUAGGCAUGAGGGUCAGCAGUUGGACCAAGGAAGGUCCUCGUGAUAUCUAGAAGAGAUCUGGAACCGGUCCCUGACUCAAGAUACCUUCCAGGGCUCCAAGCACAGAGCCGGGUGAGGAUGGCUUUGAAUCCACGAGUCCCAGGAAUCUGUAAAGCCCUUAGUUGGGAAGGCAGUGCUGGAUUCCUGACUCCAAGGUGACGUGAGAAGGAGGCGCCAGCUUUGGGAGGGAUUUGGUCAUAGGAGCCUGUAUAAAUGCGACCUGCACUUCAUGAAAGAGGCUCCAGAGAGCCACAUUGCCUCUUCCCCCAAGUGAUGGCACAGAAACAGAUGUUAUCCAAGAACGAAGAAAUGAGCUUCAGCCCGAAACAUUAAAUUUACCCAACGCCUUGAGCUUGGACCUCUUAGCCUUUAGAACUGUGCAAAAUAAUUUCUAUUGGUUAUAACCAUCCAGUCCAAGGAAUUCAGCUACAGAGUUCUGAAGAGACGACGGUAAUAUGGUUGUAAACAA